rnacentral:rRNA from 1 species
UACGUAGGGUGCAAACGUUGUUCGGAAUUACUGGGCGUAAAGCGCGUGUAGGCUGCUUCGCAAGUCGGAUGUGAAAUCCCCAGGCUUAACCUGGGAACUGCAUUCGAGACUGCAUUGCUAGAGUAUGGGAGAGGGAAGUGGAAUUUCCGGUGUAGCGGUGAAAUGCGUAGAUAUCGGAAGGAACAUCAGUGGCGAAAGCGACUUCCUGGACCAAUACUGACGCUCAUGUGCGAAAGCGUGGGGAGCAAACAGG